rnacentral:rRNA from 1 species
UACAGAGGCGGCAAGCGUUGUUCGGAAUUACUGGGCGUAAAGGGCGCGUAGGCGGCCUUCUAAGUCAGACGUGAAAUCCCCCGGCUUAACCUGGGAACUGCGUCUGAUACUGGGAGGCUUGAGUAUGGGAGAGGGAUGUAGAAUUCCAGGUGUAGCGGUGAAAUGCGUAGAUAUCUGGAGGAAUACCGGUGGCGAAGGCGGCAUCCUGGACCAUAACUGACGCUGAGGCGCGAAAGCUAGGGGAGCAAACGGG